GAUGAACGCUAGCGGCAGGCCUAAUACAUGCAAGUCGAGCGGUAAGGCUCCUUCGGGAGUACACGAGCGGCGGACGGGUGCGUAACGCGUAUGCAACCUACCCUGUAGAGGGGGAUAGCCUGGAGAAAUUCAGAUUAAUACCCCAUAGUAAAUUGGAAUCGCAUGGUUUCGAUUUUAAAGCUCCGGCGCUACAGGAUGGGCAUGCGUGACAUUAGUUAGUUGGUGAGGUAACGGCUCACCAAGACUACGAUGUCUAGCUGGUCUGAGAGGAUGAUCAGCCACACUGGGACUGAGACACGGCCCAGACUCCUACGGGAGGCAGCAGUAGGGAAUAUUGGACAAUGGACGCAAGUCUGAUCCAGCCAUGCCGCGUGAAGGAAGACGGCCCUCCGGGUUGUAAACUUCUUUUAGCAGGGGAUAAGCGAGCGCUAUACGCGUUUUUGAAGGUACCUGCAGAAUAAGCACCGGCUAACUCCG
rnacentral:rRNA from 1 species